rnacentral:rRNA from 1 species
GACGGGGCCCGCACAAGCAGCGGAGCGUGUGGUUUAAUUCGAUGCAACACGAAGAACCUUACCAGGGUUUGACAUGUACGUGGUAGGGAUGUGAAAGCAGAACGACCCCUUCGGGGGAGCGUACACAGGUGCUGCAUGGCUGUCGUCAGCUCGUGCCGUGAGGUGUUGGGUUAAGUCCCGCAACGAGCGCAACCCUUGCUGCUAGUUAUACUUUUCUAGCGGUACUGCCGGUACCAAACCGGAGGAAGGUGGGGAUGACGUCAAGUCAGCAUGGCCUUUAUACCCUGGGCUACACACACGCUACAAUGGCCGGCACAAUAGGUUGCCAAGCCGCGAGGCGGAGCCAAUCCUCAAAGCCGGUCUCAGUUCAGGUUGGAGUCUGCAACCCGACUCCAUGAGGGCGGAGUUGCUAGUAACCGCAGGUCAGCUAUACUGCGGUGAAUACGUUCCCGGGCCUU